rnacentral:rRNA from 1 species
GACGAACCGUACGAACGUUAUUCGGAAUUACUGGGCUUAAAGGGUGCGUAGGCUGCGCAGCAAGUUGGGUGUGAAAUCCCUCGGCUUAACCGAGGAACUGCGCCCAAAACUGCUGUGCUCGAGGGAGACAGAGGUGAGCGGAACUUAGGGUGGAGCGGUGAAAUGCGUUGAUAUCCUAAGGAACACCGGUGGCGAAAGCGGCUCACUGGGUCUCUUCUGACGCUGAGGCACGAAAGCGUGGGUAGCAAACAGG